rnacentral:rRNA from 1 species
CACGUAGGAGGCGAGCGUUGUCCGGAAUCAUUGGGCGUAAAGAGCGCGCAGGCGGCUUGGCAAGUCGGGUGUGAAAUCCCGGGGCUCAACCCCGUGACUGCAUCCGAUACUGUCAGGCUAGAGGUAGGUAGGGGAGAUCGGAAUUCCAGGUGUAGCGGUGAAAUGCGUAGAUAUCUGGAGGAACACCGGUGGCGAAGGCGGCAUCCUGGACCGACACUGACACUGAGGAGCGAAAGCCAGGGGAGCAAACGGG